GAAAUUUUAUUCAAGUGACCUGCACACCCAACGUGGGGCUCAAACUCACAACCCAGAGAGAUCAAGAGUCACGUGCUCUACCCACCGAGCCAGCCAGGCUCCCCUAAAACCUACCGCUUUGAGUUCUUAUCUGAGAACUCAAGGUCUCAAGAGGCAAUUUCUACGGUUUGCCUUCUUUCUCUUGCUUCUCUUCCUUUACAAUCCUAGAAUAUUGUGAUUGAAUGAUGAACCCGUGGUGUGAAGGACAGCCAGGCUGGAGAUGUUGUUUCUCUGAAGAUCUUUCACCUUCUCCCCCAGCAGGCAGCAGAGGGGCGCAUCACCUCUAAUCCUUGACGAAGCUGGUUUGCAGCUGGUUCGCCCUCAGGGAAAGCCUCAAUCUACAGCUAGUUUGCUCACACUGCUGUGCUGCAGACGUCCGGGGCUCCUACCUGCGACCUUGGGCGAAUGCUGUUCUGCUACAAAUACUCCAUCAUCACUGAAAGGUAGUAAGUACCUGCUAACCUCGGGGACGUGCCGCACUCUAGACAAGGAAACAAGUUCCAAUGCCUCGGAAAACCGGAGAGGAGUUGGCAGAGCGUGUUCAUCGCGUGAAAACCGUGAGCGAGAGAUUCCGAAGACAAAAGGGCAGUCCAGCGGCCCCACUCUGCCUUGCUCCCCACCCGCCUGAAAUGCUAGCUAGCGUCCCCGGGGCCGAGGCGAGUGGGGCCCGAGGGAAGCUGCACGUCCCGGUGGGCUCGCCUGGUGACGCUUCCCCCUUCUCUGCCUUCAUCAGACCACCCUUCAUCGGCACUCGUCCCCUAACCCGGGACGAAUGUGAGGCCUGGAGGAAGUAGCAAGGGCAUAAUUGGUCAGAAGGAGAGCCCACCAUUCGGAGAUACCUUCGAGGCUGGUGGGGUGCUUCCACUUCCUUCGGGUUCCUCUGCCCGGCAGGGAGGUUCCACGACGGCAGGGGUCGGGUCGAUGGUCGUUCUAAUGUCCCCACGCCGAGAACAGGGUCAGACAUUCACCAGGACGCUCUCCUGGGACUUGUAAAUUACUUGGUCGUCUUUAGGUUUUAGGCCCUUGAGGAACUGAAGCACCCCGACAAUGGAAAUAGUGAAAAGCUUUUCAAAGCGGAAACUUGUUUUUCAAACUUACCCAUCCAGUUGAUUGAGCAGCAUCCGCAGCGGCAGCAAAACGGGAAAGACGAACCGCGCGCCACCCGCCGGCUCGAGCUUCCGGCGCUCAGCUCGGCUCCGCUGCGUACGUGCUCAGUGCGGUGGGUGGGGGGUCGGCGUGGGCCGGGGACCCACAGCAGGUGGAGGGAAAAGGGAGCCGCAAAGAGGAGGCAGGGAAGCUGCGGAGGCGCGUACUGGGUCAACAAGACCUCCUCGGCGGCCUGGCAGCCGUAAGGGGCCAGAUCCCGGAGAGAUGAGAAUGGGUCUUGUAUCGUAGUUGAAGGAGAAGGAAGGAAAAAGAACGGGAAAGAACGAAAAGGGUGUUAGACUUGUAGCUCGGGGGGGGGGGGGGGCAAGGCAGCAAGAUAUCAUGAAGGCCUUUAGGACCGCUUAAAGCACGGCAUUUGCAAGCCGGCUCAUAGCUCUUUAGUGCUCAACGUGCGUUGUACCUGUAGCAGCCUCGGUUCCAACCCCGCUCAAAGCAGGGUCUCCUGAGGUGGUGGCGAGUGCUAGAUUUAAACCUGCGCGAGCUGCCCCAUUUGCCUGCGGCACGAGAGCACGGUUUCCCGCGAUUCCAGAGCUCUGCGCUGAGAAAAAGGGAACCUCCGCCGUGCAUGCUGAAGUCUCGGUCGUCUUGAGAUGCUUGACUGCCCUACGUCUGGAAGGAGGCCGACAGCCUGUUGUCAGAAGCAGGACCUGAGGUGAUUUCAGCAAGGCAGGACCGGUGUCUCCUGGAAUUGGGUGCGGUCUCUACAGGAGACUAGUGCUCACCGCUCCUAGCUUGUAUACACACGGACAGCCUUCUACUCGCACCGUGAGUCCUCUUAGGGACUCAAAAGAGACAUAGAGGGAGAGAACCUCAGUUAUCGCCCAGAUCUUCUGGAGUAAGUUAGACACACCAGUCCAGCCUCCUGAACCGUCACUGGGUCCUGACCACCUAUUUGGGGGAGAGAACUGGUAUUCAUCUCAAAGUUUGGAAGAAAGGGUCUGGGAGGCACCAAGCAAUGGGUGGGCAAAGAGAAUGUGUCAGCAAGUGAAAAUCAACUUUCCAUGGGUCCACGGCAGGCAGAUAUGGACCAGAGACCAGAAACAACAUGAAUCUCUGAUGUUUUUCUACAGAGUUCUGUUAUCAACUUGUAAAGAGCCGACUUCAGAAUUAGACUUUUCCAAAUCCUAUAUUUGGAUUUGGCCAUGAAGCCGAAACUUCACAGCAUUGCCGGACAUUAAAUCUCCUAUGCAAGCCUUU